rnacentral:rRNA from 1 species
UUAUAAGGAGUUAUUUAAUUCUGGUUAUUGAAGGGGUUGGAUACGGGUCUACAUAGGAGACUUAUUUUUAGUUGGUACGAUAAGUUAUUUUUGUACUUCUUAGUAUAUAGAACUUAAGGUUUGGAGAAAUCCGGACUAGGCCGUGUCUAAAGAAGUGGUUAAUUCUCAGUGCCAGCAUCCGCGGUUAUUCUGUUAGCUUUUCUCUUCGGUGUGUUGGUAUAAACUGCUUUAGGACUAAGUUGGUAGUGUUAGGUACAAUUAUUCUACUUGGAAAAUUAUGUUCUAGGUUUUUAAAGCUGGUGGUUUAGAAGAGGAUUAGAUACCCUCGUAUAAGUAGUUAAAAUUUUAUUUCCAUAGUAUAAACUAAAAGGAUUUGGCAGCCGACAAAGUUCUUCCGGGGGAACGUGUAGUGUAAGAGAUGGUCCGCUAAAUAAUCUGCCUUAAUAAUUUAAGUUAGUGUACGUCCGGUUAAAUUUGUGGUUAGUGUCAGCAAGUGUAACUAUUGUGUUCAAACUAGGUCGUUGUGCUGCUAAUGUUAAGGUAUUUAUGCGUUACUUUAUUAAAGAGGCUUGUUGUGAAUAUGCAAGUCAGGUUUAGGACUCGGAAGUAGGCAUUGUGAAUGAAGUUAGUUCUUUGUGUCGAAGGGGAUUUAGUUGGGGUACACACCGCCCGUCACCCGGGGUGUUAACUGUGGUAAGUCGUAACAUGGUAAUGUUGGGGGAACCUGACGUUAGUUGACUUGCGUGUUUAGUUAGCAGG